CUACGGGUUGCUCCAGUGGGGAAUAUUGGACAAUGGGGGAAACCCUGAUCCAGCAAUGCCGCGUGUGUGAAGAAGGCCUGCGGGUUGUAAAGCACUUUCGGUUGGGAGGACUGCUUCUAGCACUAAUAUUGUUGGAAGUUGACGUUACCUUCAGAAGAAGCACCGGCUAACUCCGUGCCAGCAGCCGCGGUAAUACGGGGGGUGCAAGCGUUAAUCGGAAUUACUGGGCGUAAAGCGCGCAUAGGCGGCUAGAUCAGUCGGGUGUGAAAGCCCCGGGCUUAACCUGGGAACUGCAUCCGAUACUGUCUAGCUUGAGUACAGGAGAGGAGAGUGGAAUUCCACAUGUAGCGGUGAAAUGCGUAGAUAUGUGGAGGAACACCAAUGGCGAAGGCAGCUCUCUGGCCUGAUACUGACGCUGAGGUGCGAAAGCGUGGGGAGCAAACAGGAUUAGAUACCCGCGUAGUC
rnacentral:rRNA from 1 species